CACGAACCGGACAAACGUUAUUCGGAAUUAUUGGGCUUAAAGGGUGCGUAGGCGGUUUGGUAGGUGGGGUGUGAAAUCCCUCGGCUCAACCGAGGAAUUGCGCCCCAAACCACCAGGCUAGAGGGAGACAGAGGUAAGCGGAACUGAUGGUGGAGCGGUGAAAUGCGUUGAUAUCAUCAGGAACACCAGUGGCGAAAGCGGCUUACUGGGUCUCUUCUGACGCUGAGGCACGAAAGCUAGGGUAGCGAACGGG
rnacentral:misc_RNA from 1 species